AUAGCCUCAGUAACGGCGAGUGAAGCGGCUACAGCUCAAAUUUGAAAUCUGGCCUCCUUUGGUGGUCCGAGUUGUAAUUUGCAGAGGAUGCUUUGGCAUUGGCGGCGGUCUAAGUUCCUUGGAACAGGACAUCGCAGAGGGUGAGAAUCCCGUACGUGGGCGCCUGCCUUUGCCGUGUAAAGCUCCUUCGACGAGUCGAGUUGUUUGGGAAUGCAGCUCUAAAUGGGAGGUAAAUUUCUCCUAAAGCUAAAUACCGGCCAGAGACCGAUAGCGCACAAGUAGAGUGAUCGAAAGAUGAAAAGUACUUUGGAAAGAGAGUCAAAUAGCACGUGAAAUUGUUGAAAGGGAAGCGCUUGCAGCCAGACUUGCCCGCAGUUGCUCACCCAGGCUCUCGCCUGGGGCACUCUUCUGCGGGCAGGCCAGCAUCAGUUUGGGCGGUCGGAUAAAGGCUCCUGUCAUGUACCACCCCUCGGGGUGGCCUUAUAGGGGGAGCGCAAUGCGACCAGCCCGGACUGAGGUCCGCGCAUCUGCUAGGAUGCUGGCGUAAUGGCUGUAAGCGGCCCGUCUUGAAACACGGACCAAGGAGUCUAACAUCUAUGCGAGUGUUUGGGUGUCAAGCCCGGGCGCGCAAUGAAAGUGAACGGAGGUGGGAACCUUUCGGGGUGCACCAUCGACCGAUCCUGAUGUCUUCGGAUGGAUUUGAGUAAGAGCAUAGCUGUUGGGACCCGAAAGAUGGUGAACUAUGCUUGAAUAGGGUGAAGCCAGAGGAAACUCUGGUGGAGGCUCGCAGCGGUUCUGACGUGCAAAUCGAUCGUCAAAUUUGGGCAUAGGGGCGAAAGACUAAUC
rnacentral:rRNA from 1 species